rnacentral:lncRNA from 1 species
UUGGAUUAGAAUUUGGAUUAGAGUUUAGGAUUGGAUUAGGAUUUGGAUUAAGAUUUGGAUUAGGAUUUGGAUUAGGGUUUAGGAUUUGGUUAGGGUUUGAUUUAGGGUUUGGAUUAGAGUUUGGUUAAGGUUUGAUUUAAGGUUUGGUUUAGGGUUUAGGAUUUGGAUUAAAGUUUAGGAUUGGAUUAGGAUUUGGAUUAGGGUUUGGAUUAGGAUUUAAGAUUUGGUUAUGAUUUUAUUUUGGGUUUGGAUUAGGAUUUGAUUAGAAUUUGAUUUAAGGUUUGGUUUAGGGUUUAGGGUUGGAUUAGGGUUUGGUUUAGGAUUUGAUUUAGAGUUUGGUUUAGGGUUUAGGGUUUGGAAUAGGGUUUAAUUUAAGAUUUUUUAAGGAUUUGACUUAGGAUUUAGGAAUUAUUAGGGUUUAAGAUUUAAUUAGGUUUGGUCUAAAGUUUAGUGAAAUUCAAUAGGGUUUUAACUAGAAUUAAAUUAAGGUUGAAUUGACAUAUAUUUGAGUAAAAUUUGUGAUCAUUCUAAUAUUUCUUUAAGAAUUUUAUUGUUUGUUUGAAAUUUCUUUGAGUUAUUUUGAAUUUGAUUACGUUUGUUUACCAUUAUUAUAGUCUAAUUAGAGCAUUGUUAGUAUUCUAUUUAGGAUUUUGUUAUCACAAUUUCUAUUC